GCCCCCUUGGCGGAAUGGUAGACGCUGAAGACUUAAAAUCUUUUGCCUUCGGGCGUGCCGGUUCGAGUCCGGCAGGGGGCACCA
rnacentral:tRNA from 4 species